ensembl:lncRNA
AUGCUCUCCUCACCCACCUGUCUGUCCCUGACGCCAUCCCUACGUGCUGAUCCCAGCUGUGCCACACCACCAGGGCUCCACUGUCACUCACCACCUCCAAUCCUCUCUGUUCUCCCCACUCCCUUCACAUCCCAUCCCUCCUUCCACACUCCUUCCAGUGUGCUGUCAUCAGCUGUAUCCCAUCCCUCCCUGCCAUGCUGCGCUCCUCCAUUACCCACCAUGUCCCCUCCCACCCUCGUGUUCCUGAAUCCUACACUGCAUCCUAUCCCUCCUUGUUAUCCAACACCCACCACCUCCCACCCCUCCUUCCUGUGCUCCUCCACUGCCUUCCAUAUCUCACCCUCCAGUCUUCCUGCCACACUUUCAGCCCAUCCCUCUAACCUGCUCCUUCAUUCACCACAUCCUGUUCCUUACCUUCAUUCACCACCACCUUCUCGUGUUUCCUUCUUCACCUUCAGCCUGCUCCAUCCACCUUGCCUUGCUUUGUCUCCAGCUUUUCCUUUCAUAUUCAUGUCAACAGCUCACCAUCUUCUUCAGCUCCCACCACUGUCCCCAAUAUCGUACCGUCAGUUUAUCCCUGCUUAUUCUCCAUUAGCUCCCACCUUCACCCCAACCUCCUCCACUCCUAAUCUUCUCCACAUCUUUAUUCAUCCUCUUCUCUCUUCCUAUCUCUUCUCUCAACCUUCUUCACUUCCCCAUCCCAAAAUCCACCAUCACCUCCCACCAUUUCACCAUUCUUUCAACUGCUAAUGUCACCCAAUUUUACCUUCUCCACCCUCUUUGUGCUUAUCCAUGUCCCAUCUCCUUAUUCAUCCUCCUUCACUGCCCUGCAGUCUUUGUCUUCUUCUGUUCCCUUAGUCUCUCAUUCCUCCUGUCAUCCAUGGCCAUUUCCCAGUGUUUCCUCACCCCUCCUCUUCUUAUCCAUCUCCCCUCCAUCCUUUUCUCCACCACCUGCCAUCUAAUCUAUCCUUGUUUUUCUUUUUGAUUUUGUCAGCCUUCUUCAUUCUCCACUUCCCACUGUCUUCCACCCUUCCCCGUGCCCCACACCACCCACUAUUUGCCUGUCCUUCCUCACCCUCCGCUUCCUACCACCUGCCCAAAAAUCUCCUCAUCCUCCCCAACCUCUCUCUUCAUAUUCAUUGUCCUUUCCACCAUCUUUCAUCUCCUUCACCCUCCAUCUCAUCCUUCAUCCUCCACCUCAGUUCUUCCUGUGACCCUCCACUUCCCAUUGUUCCCCGUACUUUUUCCUGCAGUUUCACCUUUUCCCUGUCCCUCACACUCAACAUCUGGCUAUCUCACUGUCCUCUGUCAUUUGCCUCCCACAGUGUCCCUGUUUCUCUUUAUGCCUCUCCACUUUUCCCUGUCUUUCUAUCCCUCUGUAUCCUCUAAAGUGUCCCACCAACCUCACAGAUUUCCCUCUCCACACCUCCUUGACCUCCAGCUGUCCUUCCUUACCUCACAGCUCCCUCUCUAACUGGCCUUACAUUCUCCUUCAUCUGCUACCUCUGUCCUGACUUCCAAUCUUCUUCCAGCCUGACCUCUCCCAUUCCUCUCUGCACUCUUUUACUCCCAGCACAUCUGACUCCAGCUACAAUUUUCUUCUUCUCUUCCCACUUCUCCUGCCUUAUAUCCCAUCACUUACUGACCCAGGAAAGCCACUGCUAACUCAGCCACCCCUGAUGCACACAAUAAGAAAACAUCUGAAAAGACUUCUGGGCUAGUGCAGCUGGAACUGGUCAUAGGGGAAAAGGGGAUGACCUCUGCCCUUGGAAGGUUUCAGUAAAAUUCAGCCAGAUAAAGUCACCAGUGUCCUGAUCUAACAUUAGCAAUAACUGAUGUGGAACAUGGAGCUUGACCAGAUUCCCUUAGGAUCACUUCCAGCAAUGAAGAAUUUCCAAGAGGGGCAAGAAAGGCCAGGAAUGGCUUUGAAUGCAUUGCUUGGGAUGCUGCAGAACAUGAAGAAUUAUCCCUGCCACUUGCAGCUGCUCCAUGGUGCUCAAGCAGACCCAGCACACACUGCUCCAGCAGGACCAUCCCAUGCUCCCCAAGGACCAUCCCACUGUGCUCAAGCAGGGCCAUCCCAAGCUGCCUGAGCAGGACCACCCCAGCAGAACCAUUCCCUGCUGUUCCAGCAGGACCAUCCCACCCUGCUUGAUCAGCAGCAUCCCAAACUGCUCAAGCAGGACCUCUCCAGGCUGCUUGGGCAGGAUCAUCCAAUGUAGAUGGAGCAGAACCUUCCCAUGUUGCCCAAGCAGGACCACCCCAUGUCACUUGAGCAGAACCACUCCAGGCUGCUUGAGUACUGUGGACCAACCCAAAGAGGCUUCCUAAAAAAGCUGCCAGCUCCCAGGCCAGUGAGUGAUCCCUGAGAUGUCCCCUCAGACCCAAGAGCCAGGGAUCUUUCAUCAUCCUUGUUUUCUGUCUCUUAGGCUGGGCCCUGCAGGGGCAGCCCCUUCCAACAGCCUUAUGGCUGCAGUAGGGCACCAGGCUGCUGGCAGUGCUGCCAUGGGGAGGACAGGUUGUCUCUCCAUGCCAAGGGAGCCCAAACCCUGCAGGACCUGCACGCAGGGCCUUUUCAGAGCACCCCUUGUCCCUUGCACAAGGGCCAGCCAGCCUCACCUCCCUGAAAACUCUCCCUUGCCAUGUUGGAGGCUGCCAGCCAUCCCAUGGAGGGGGGAGGAUGUCCUUUCCUAGGGGAUGUCCCACUGCAGGGACAGGGCACCCUACAGGGUGGGCAUGACGUUUGUAAAGCAUUCCUGCCCAUAUGCCUUCCUGGCUGGGAAAUCUGGGGGAGGGUGGAGGGAAUUUGCUACCCGUGUUAGGAACUAGCUGAACUUACAUGUCUCCCCAAGCUGGAUUUCUUAUUCCAAAUGUUCAAACUGUUGUAUAUUGUACUGGGAUUUUUACAUUGAAUUAUUGUAGAAAACAAAAAUUUAAACCAAGUCUGUUAAAAAAUAAAAAGCUCUAUGAAAAAAUAAAUGUUAGCUUG